rnacentral:rRNA from 1 species
ACCCGCGGUUAGACGGACAGACCCCGUGACCCUUUACUAGAGCUUUGCACUGGACUUUGACUAUUUAUGUGUAGGAUAGGUGGGAGACCAUGAAGCAGCUACGCCAGUUGUUGUGGAGUCGUCCUUGAAAUACCACCCUUGAAUAUUUGAAGUUCUAACUCUGGAGAGAUUCGAGGACAGUGUAUGGUGGGUAGUUUGACUGGGGCGGUCUCCUCCUAAAGAGUAACGGAGGAGACCGCCCCAGUC